CAACUCCCAAACCCCUGUGAACAUACCACUUGUUGCCUCGGCGGAUCAGCCCGCUCCCGGUAAAACGGGACGGCCCGCCAGAGGACCCCUAAACUCUGUUUCUAUAUGUAACUUCUGAGUAAAACCAUAAAUAAAUCA
rnacentral:misc_RNA from 1 species